UGCCAUGAGUGAGUGGCAGUAUCGUAGGCAAUGAGGUUAAUCCCAGGUGCGUUUAUUGCUAGUUGAAAAUUUUUCCUAGUGCAGACUGACCAGGAAACAGGGACCUGGCAGUCACUGGUCCCUGUGUCAGG
rnacentral:snRNA from 1 species